AUUGAGUCCACCUGCUCAUUGAGGCGCAACGGAACGUUAUUUUGCCCCUAGAAUUAGCCGAGUAGAGGUGUACAAGUUAGUGUUAGGGCGUUUUGUUACUCUGAGCUGGUACCCCGUUACCCUUUGGGGUCGCUAGGGCUGACAGACCCCUAGGUUACACUGUCACUCUGUACACCGUCCAAACGCACAUAGGGGCAAAAAUCUCUAUUAUUUUAUAGCUGGCGUAUAUACCCCCUGUUGUGGGGAGUCUUGAAGGACCGAUGAUUGGAGUCAUACCGUGGCGAGCAGAAGGUGGUGGCAGAUGUUGCAGUUGUGCUACUUGAGUUACCAAGAUGAGCGUGUGGAGAGGUGUUGGCUGGGCGAAACAGAGCAAUGGUGAAGAAAGCAUCAUGGAUGGAGGGCAACCAACGCCACACUGCAGAGUAAUGGAAGAGGCUGUGACCUGCAGGUGAGACGUUUGAGCACCCUCGACGUGGAUGACGUUGAUACCAUCGUGUGUAGUUACUCUAGGGACACAACCUCCAGCUGUUGAAGGAUCAAGUUACUCUUCCAUACAAGAACCGAGUACGGAAGGAGCACGAGGUACACCAUUGAUGAAGAAGGAAAAUGGAUGGAGCCCGAGGGCAAGACUACUGGGCCCAUGAGGUCGACACACACUCGUAUUUACAGCGGGCAGCCGCCGCGUUCGCCCUU
rnacentral:lncRNA from 1 species